UACGUAGGCGGCUUGGUAAGUCAGAGGUGAAAGCCCACGACUCAAUCGUGGAACUGCCUUUGAGACUGCUUCGCUUGAACACGGGAGAGGUGAGUGGAAUUCCGAGUGUAGAGGUGAAAUUCGUAGAUAUUCGGAAGAACACCAGUGGCGAAGGCGGCUCACUGGACCGUUGUUGACGCUGAGGUACGAAAGCGUGGGGAGCAAACA
rnacentral:rRNA from 1 species